GCUUUUUCAUUGUAAAUUCUUUUUGGAUAGUGCUAAGAAAGGGUUAGGAGUCCACUUAUUUUUCCCCCUCAUUUAAUUAUAUGGUCGUCCUCACGAACUGAUUGUCCAAUAUAAUUGCCCGUGUUCCGAAAAACAACAGACGUUGUCCUUUUUAUCGUAGAGCAAUCCCCCAGUUCUCGAAAAUGACCUCUGAGUUUCUUGCGAGAAGCGGGAAUUGCUUAGCAAUAGAGUUUAAUGGGGUCCGUGUUGCUCAAGUAUCGUUGGUUUUAUAUGUUACACUGUCAUUGCUAUAUUUUAUUUUGUUGGCAACGGGUCAGAAACUGUUUCGCUGUUUCUUUUUUCC
rnacentral:lncRNA from 1 species